UCAAAUCCUGGUAGCGAAUGACCUGCGAACAGGUUCCAAAAAUCACAAGGGUCGUUGCGCCCUUGCUUGGUGUGGGUCGGUGACUUGUUGCCGGACGCGCGGAGCAUCGAAAAAAAAAUCCGGCGCGGGAAGCGCCAAGGACGGGCGAAAUAGGGGAUGGAUGCCGCGGGGAUUAAAGGGUCUCCAAAUGAAAAUGUUAUACAAUACGACUCUCGGCAACGGAUAUCUGGGCUCUCGCAUCGAUGAAGGACGUAGCAAACUGCGAUAGGUGGUGUGAAUUGCAGAAUCCCGUGAACCAUGGAGUCGUUGAACGCAAGUUGCGCCCGAAGCCAUGAGGCAGAGGGCACGUCUGCCUGGGCGUCACGCAUUGCGUCGUCCCCCCCUCACCCGUGUCCCGAAAGGGUCGCGGUGCUUAGCGUGGGGGCGGAAGUUGGCUUCCCGUGCAGCGUUUGCGGCUAGCCUGAAACAACGGUUCCCUCGGCGCGGAGGUCGCGACAAGUGGUGGUCGUCGAGAUUGUACGCGAGUUGCAGGCAAGCUGCGUCGAGGGGAGCAUUUGGACCCCGUGCGAGACGAGUCCCUUCGGCGAGGGGCGA
rnacentral:misc_RNA from 1 species